rnacentral:rRNA from 1 species
UCCAGCCAUGCCGCGUGUGUGAAGAAGGCCUUCGGGUUGUAAAGCACUUUCGGACGGAACGAAAUCGCGCGAUCUAAUAAGUCGCGUGGAUGACGGUACCGUAAGAAGAAGCACCGGCUAACUAUGUGCCAGCAGCCGCGGUAAUACGUAGGGUGCGAGCGUUUAUCGGAAUUACUGGGCGUAAAGUGUGCGCAGGCGGCUGAGCAAGUCGAGUGUGAAAGCCCCGGGCUUAACUUGGGAAUUGCGCUCGAAACUACUUGGCUGGAGUGUGGCAGAGGAAGGUGGAAUUCCACGUGUAGCGGUGAAAUGCGUAGAGAUGUGGAGGAACACCAAUGGCGAAGGCAGCCUUCUGGGCCAACACUGACGCUCAUGCACGAAAGCGUGGGGAGCAAACAGGAUUAGAUACCCUGGUAGUCCACGCCCUAAACGAUGACGACUAGUUGUGGAGGAGUUAAAUCCU